rnacentral:rRNA from 1 species
GAUGAACGCUGGCGGCGUGCCUAACACAUGCAAGUCGAGCGAUUCUCUUCGGAGAAGAGCGGCGGACGGGUGAGUAACGCGUGGGUAACCUGCCCUGUACACACGGAUAACAUACCGAAAGGUAUGCUAAUACGAGAUAAUAUACUUCUAUCGCAUGGUAGAAGUAUCAAAGCUUUUGCGGUACAGGAUGGACCCGCGUCUGAUUAGCUAGUUGGUAAGGUAACGGCUUACUAAGGCGACGAUCAGUAGCCGACCUGAGAGGGUGAUCGGCCACAUUGGAACUGAGACACGGUCCAAACUCCUACGGGAGGCAGCAGUGGGGAAUAUUGCACAAUGGGCGAAAGCCUGAUGCAGCAACGCCGCGUGAGCGAUGAAGGCCUUCGGGUCGUAAAGCUCUGUCCUCAAGGAGGAUAAUGACGGUACUUGAGGAGGAAGCCCCGGCUAACUACGUGCCAACCGCCGCGGUAAAAC